rnacentral:rRNA from 1 species
GGGAUUGGAGUCUGCAACUCGACUCCAUGAAGUCGGAAUCGCUAGUAAUCGUGGAUCAGAAUGCCACGGUGAAUACGUUCCCGGGCCUUGUACACACCGCCCGUCACACCAUGGGAGUGGGUUGCAAAAGAAGUAGGUAGCUUAACCUUCGGGAGGGCGCUUACCACUUUGUGAUUCAUGACUGGGGUGAAGUCGUAACAAGGUAACCGUAGGGGAACCUGCGGUUGGAUCACCUCCUUA